UCUCCGGUGGCCUAACUGGUUAGAGCGUCCGCCUCGGAUGCGAGAGGUCGAGGGUUCGAUUCCUGGAGCU